UAAGGAAUAUUGGACAAUGGAGGCAACUCUGAUCCAGCCAUGCCGCGUGAAGGAAUAAGGCCCUAUGGGUUGUAAACUUCUUUUAGACGGGACAAAACCCCUUUACGUGUAAAGGGUUGAUGGUACUGUCAGAAUAAGCAUCGGCUAACUUCGUGCCAGCAGCCGCGGUAAUACGAAGGAUGCAAGCGUUAUCCGGAAUGAUGGGGUUUAAAGGGUGCGUAGGCGGACUAAUAAGUCAGUGGUGAAAGCCUGCAGCUUAACUGCAGAAUUGCCAUUGAUACUGUUAGUCUUGACUACAGUUGAGGUAGGCGGAAUGUGUCAUGUAGCGGUGAAAUGCUUAGAUAUGACACAGAACACCGAUUGCGAAGGCAGCUUGCUAAGCUGUAACUGACGCUGAGGCACGAAAGCGUGGGGAGCAAACA
rnacentral:rRNA from 1 species